rnacentral:tRNA from 1 species
GGCUCUGUGGCGCAAUGGAUAGCGCAUUGGACUUCUAGGCUGUGAGCUGAGCCAUUCAAAGGUUGUGGGUUGGAGUCCCACCAGAGUCG